rnacentral:rRNA from 1 species
UACACACCGCCCGUCACACCAUGGGAGCUGACUCAACCAGAAGACGGUUAGGCUAACCGCAAGGGAGCCGUUGUCGAAGGUGGGGUUGGUGACUGGGGUGAAGUCGUAACAAGGUAGCCGUAGGUGAACCUGCAGAAGGAUCA